CGCGUUGUUCGUACCGUAAAACCCUCAACUUUGGAUUGAAAGUAUUCGGAAACGGUACGAUGGAGCAUACUACACUCAGCGAGGGAAAAUUUCGACAGAUGAUGAAAAAUAUUGUGCUCCUGGACGGUAAAUGCAUUUCGGUUACCGACAAUAUUCUGUCGUAUUUAGCAUCACGAAAGCAAUGGAUAAUGCAGAGCAAUAUUUACCAUAGUAGAGUACAACUGCUGGUGGUCGAAAGCCUUUUUAUAAAAAAAUAUGUAUUGAUGAUAGAACAUGAUUCAUGGGGUCCUCUAUUAACGAUUAUACCCAAACUACAACAUCAUAUACGUUUUUAUUUUGUCACAAAUCAUCGAUUUAUUACAUACAAGACAAUAACUAAUUCACGAAACAUGUAUCAAUGUCUUUGAUUCCUAUUCGAUUCAUCAUAUGACCCUACAUGUGCGCAUCAUUGGC